AGCGAACGCUGGCGGCAGGCUUAACACAUGCAAGUCGAGCGGGCGUAGCAAUACGUCAGCGGCAGACGGGUGAGUAACGCGUGGGAACAUACCUUUUGGUUCGGAACAACACAGGGAAACUUGUGCUAAUACCGGAUAAGCCCUUACGGGGAAAGAUUUAUCGCCGAAAGAUUGGCCCGCGUCUGAUUAGCUAGUUGGUGAGGUAACGGCUCACCAAGGCGACGAUCAGUAGCGGUCUGAGAGGAUGAUCAGCCACAUUGGGACUGAGACACGGCCCAAACUCCUACGGGAGGCAGCAGU
rnacentral:rRNA from 1 species